CAGAAUACUACAUAGUGUGAAUCAAGGUUACCGAGUGCUGGAUAACUAACAAUAACUAAUACAAGAGCAGAGGACAUGGCAGGAGGUGAGUGAAGGCGUCCACACCUGACAAGGCUCUGAUCAUUUAAUUCUAAUGACAUUUUCUCCAUUACUGCGUUUCUAUAAUAUAUCAUUCAUUAGCUAUUCAUAUUAACUAAUUAUUAUUACCACCAUUUAUAUAGCAAAAACAGAUAUAGACCACUCAGGUGCAGUAAUAUACAAUAAAAAUUAGAAAAGGUAGUUACUUCCCUUUUUACAAUCCUUUUAACAAAGGAUUCCUCUAAAUCCUCAAAAACAUAUAUGGAUAAAAGAUACAUCUAAAUAGAAAAAAAACAGAGAAAAACUCAUAGGGAAACACCGUACAACAACAAUAGACCCCUUGAUAUUAAAAUGCACUCACAGACUGCAUGAAUUUUUCAAGCCCAUCAAUAUCGCUUUAAAUCUUCAGGGGUUAGUCCUUUCUCAGAUCUCAGUGUCCAAGGAUGCAUGCAGACAGAAAUAUAAAAGGACAUAGUAGAGCACAGUGAAAAUCACACGCUUUAUUACGAUACACUUACAAACAGUGUGUAGUAAAAAAGCCCAUCAACACAAACUCUGCGUCCCUCUUUCCAGGUGGUAUAUGGUGGAGGUCAGUCACAGGAAUGUCAGGCAAUUAAAAAGUAAAAUGAAAUAACAAUAUCAGCUGUACGCGUUUCGUCUACUAAAUGUAGACUUCCUCAGGAGAAGAUAAAUAAUACAGGAUAAAAAAC